rnacentral:rRNA from 1 species
CCAAUAGCGUAUAUUAAAGUUGUUGCAGUUAAAAAGCUCGUAGUUGAAUUUCGGGACCAGUAUGUUGGUCGUGCUUCGGUACGUACUGUCAUUACUGGUUUCUCCCUUCUGAAGAACCUUGAUGUCAUUAAUUUGGUGUCUUGGGGAAUCGGGACUGUUACUUUGAAAAAAUUAGAGGGUUUAAAGCAGGCAUACGCUUGAAUACAUUAGCAUGGAAUAAUGAAAUAGGACGUUUGAUUCUAUUUUGUUGGUUUCUAGGAUCGACGUAAUGAUUAAUAGGGAUAGUUGGGGGCAUUAGUAUUCAAUUGUCAGAGGUGAAAUUCUUGGAUUUAUUGAAGACUAACUACUGCGAAAGCAUUUGCCAAGGAUGUUUUCAUUAAUCAAGAACGAAAGUUAGGGGAUCGAAGACGAUCAGAUACCGUCGUAGUCUUAACCAUAAACUAUGCCGACUAGGGAUCGGAUGAUGUUAUUUUUAAUGACUCAUUCGGCGCCUUACG